rnacentral:tRNA from 1 species
UAGCCCUAUAGUUUAAAUAAAAUAGAUGAUUUACACUCAGAAGAAGCUACAAAUAAACCCCUGCUAUUAGCCU